ensembl:lncRNA
AAGCUUCCCCCGUUCUUUUCACUGGUAAGAUCUAAAACAUCACAGUAAAACAUUAAAACAUGUUACACAUUAUCCUAAAAAGAUACCUGCUGCUGUGGCUUAACUUUUUGAACAACAGAUGCUUGAUCCAGGCUUUCUGUUUUAGAUCAGUGGCUAGCUACAGUGCUAAUAGCGUUAGCGCUAGCUCUUCCUCCCUCAGCGAGUCUGUGUUCCGCCUACUUAGACGAUUAGCCCUGCUAACUCUAACGCUAACACUAGCUCCACACCUUCCUUUGUCUGUGUUCUUCUUCCAACUGCACAGGCUUGGACCGAUUACACCAUCCCUGAAAACACAGCGAUGUGUGCUACAUGGGCAGGAUGUAGGCAUUCCUAUGGAGCACUGACAGUGCUUCAAACAAUGAUCAAGCGGCGUAAAAGGUGAUGAGUGAACCCUUUUUAAAUUUCACUUUCUGCUUAUAUGUCCACAGUGGCUCACACAAGCCUCUGUUUUCCUCUGCCACUGUAACACCAAUCACCACUGCAAACAUUUACCACUUCGAUCUGCGUGUUUGUUCUGCCACUUUGGAGACUAAUGCUAGAAUAAAGCGGAAGGCUAACACGUCCCCAGAGUCGAGCAAACAACCUAACGUGACAACCUAACGAAAAUCCUGGCAAUACCUCGCGUACCCUGAGAUGCCCUCGGCAGAAUGGGCAGAGGUGCCAUUUCCUCACAACACCCUCAGCAGCUCAGCUCCACUUCCUGUUUUCAAUCAGGAUGAGUCAGCAUACUAAAAAUCUGUCCGGCUCUAAUAUUAACACAUCUACUGCGCUCCGAGUCUGAUACUGUUCCCUGACUGGAUCUGUGUGUCUCUGGUGCAGAUAAGAGCCUAGCAGCAAGCGUGUCGGAAGUCACGCCGCACAGUUUACGCGAGCACGAACUGUCACCGACUGUUUUAUGUGUUUUUAUGAAACACUGACACUACUACUUUAUAUCCUAAGUAAGUGCUUAGGCCCAGAUGCUCUCGCCGCUGUCUCUAUGGCUCGCUGAAGACACAGACAGCUGGACAGCUGCGACUCUCAAUCCAUUUCUCUAUAUUAGGCCUAAAAUGGGACCAUAUGGAGAGCAGAUUUGUGACAAACCGAGGCUGGCACAUCAUUUGUUUUGCUGAGAGUGAGUAAGGCUCCAGAGUCAGGAAGACAGCAGAGAACCCACCUACUUCCCCUUUAUCAGGACACGCACUCAUGCCAUGCUCCAUUUCUGGCACGAUCCUGCUUCGGUCCAGUCAGGGGCUUUAAAAGCUGCAGGCAGAAGGAGCCUUGAGGUGGCCGAAACGGCAGAUAACAAGACUGACCACACAGCCUGAAACGCCACUUCACCGGAGCAAAAUGAGGAAGCCACACUUUCUAUAUGGCACCGAUUCCGCUUUUGUCACCCAGUUUCAGCCAUGCCUCGAAUGCUCCAGGGAAAACAAAAAAAAAUGGACAUGCAUUGAUGCUCGCUGCCCACAGCACAGAACUAUGGGCUGCCCUGCAGGGAAGGCAAACCGAGACAGGCUGGCCACAGUUCUACCAAGGCCAAGUGGGCCUGUCAAACUGUAGGGAACACUUCUGUUCACAACUUUUGGAAAACUAUGGUUGGUUGGUUUGCUCAUUUGAGCCCAAGAGACUCAGCCACCAAGAUAACAGUUGGCUGCUCUGAAAUAGAUUCAUUCGGGAGACUGCAAAUUUAUGGGCAUUGCCUUUGUAGGCUGCAAGAGUAGACCCAAGGGUGCAAAGUGCAAUCCUAUUACACAGCCUAAGCCGUAUUGCUCAAUAAAGGCAACCAACUGGCUUUCACAAAUAAGUGCCACCAAUUAGCCUAUGGCCCCUUUUAGGGAAACGUAAAGGAAGUGAUAAAUGUGAGAAUGAUGGUUUGAUAUAAAACAUAUAAAAUUGCGCUAUGUCUCAGUGAGUAUGCUUACUUUCCGUUUGUAAUUGAGGGAAUGCAAGUCUACUCUAUUUACAGCUAGCUGAUCCAAGGAACUGAAGCGAGUCAAGUUGGGCUUCUUUACAUUGCAAGCUCUCCGAGAGUUUACGUAUUUGGAAUCCUGAGCAGUUGCCAAAAAUACGAGCUGUGACACCUUUUACAAAUAUUAUGUAAAGGCGAAAGCAAGUAACACAUGUAAUGCAAAGCAUAUUUUUGGAAACAACUUGGUAAGUGGACCACUAGGUCGUUUAACAACGCGCUCUGUUGAGUUGCAAAAUGAAUCGCUGCGGGUUGUUGUCCGCCGAGUCUGCCUGACCGACAUUGCCAUCUGCGUAUUUAAUUUCGAAAGACAAAACAAAUCCAUCAAUAACCACUGCAAAUAUACAUACGUUUAAUCUCAUCGAAUGACAAAUGCAACGCCUGCAUUUUCGAACUACAGAACUGUCCUAUCAAGUAGAAACACAGUAGUUCUCCUUGCAAAUCUUUCCAAGGAUACACCCUCUAGCCCAUUAUGAAACUAACGGGACAGCCGCAAAUAUUUUUUUCGGUGGUAAAAGGGAAAUCAGAACCAGCACGACGCAUUAAUUGCCUGCACUAUUUUAGCCACUGGUUGUAUUUUGGAAAAUG